CAGGAACGGCCUGGGAACCCCCUCUGGGAACCGGUUUCCUCACCAGCGGAGAGGGCAUGAUCACCCCACACAACACACUACUGGAAAUGGCAGGACCCCAGACAGACCCUUCCAAUACAUCCAGAACCCAAUGCUCCUGCUGCUGCUCUUCUGCUCAAGAGCCUGCUAUGACUCGACUGGGCAUCACGUUGAAGCUACCUCACCCUCCUCCUACACCCACCCCCACCUCCCACCACUCCUCUGUCAUCCAGACACGACUUCUCAUGGCAGGACAAUUCUGG